rnacentral:lncRNA from 1 species
AUCAAAUCGAUUUUAAGCUAAAAUAGAUUUUUAGGUGUCUGCAAUCAAGGCUAGUCAAUUUGGGGUAAAUCGAUCACAAAAUGGCCUUGCUUAACUACAGUGAGAGUCCUUGAAAAAGUCGGAUUAAAAGAUGGAGUGGACCACAAGUCGUAUCCACCAAAUAGACCUUGGCUUUAGUCCAAGACUCAAAAGUUCUCUUCUGCCGUGUCUCUACAGUCUUGGACUUCUCAUUCUUCCUUGGCCUCAGGCUCAAGAAAAGGGUUUGGAUAUGCAGAAUGUACUCAAGCUCAAUGUCUAGAUGUACAGCUAUAGAUCCUACUGUGCUAAGCGGCCUUGUGGAGUGAUCUUCUUACUAGUAAAAUUUGCACACCAAUAAUAAAACAAAGGUUGCAAAAUAAAGAGCUAUGGCAUCUGCAUGUACUGCUAGUUCAUGACAAAUAAACAUUUAUUGUCCAUCUCUUCAAAUUGAAAAGACUGCAGAGCCUGAAUUACCUGCAACGUUAUGCUUCUUAUGAAACAUCAGCCAGCCUACAGAUAGAAACUCCCUUUUCCAGCUUUAAGCAAGAGGAACCACAAUGAGAUACAGAUCUUGGUAUCAUGGACUGGUCACUUUUUACAACCAACACUACUUGUAAAAUAAGAUUUACAAGUUAAUUCCUAUAAGCUAUUAAAAAUGCUCUAGUCAAGGUACUAAAAUGUUGCCAUCGAGUUUGAGGUUUUGGGUUUGAUAAAAUGUUAACAUAAAAUAUUUUAAAGGAAGUAAACGCUUUAAUGAUACUUCCAAGAUUUCCUAUAUUUUAAACAGAAUUUUAGAAUCUUGCAGAAGAAAAGAGAAGAAAUAAAAAGCUAUUAUUCUGUCAUGGAGGUUAUUGUUACCAAACUCACAUUACAUAGAUAAUGUUGUUCAUGGCAAUAAAUCUUAAAAUAUCAAAUUGGAAUUUCUUAAAUAGUAAUUCAUCUGAGCAGCAGUUUGAUGACCUAUUUGGAACUCUUCCUAGAGGCAUUUCUUGCAUGACUAUGUAUCGAUAAUUACCUGUUGGUGCUUAAAGUGCUAUUGUAGCAAUUGCACAACAACAAAUACAAAAUAAACAACAGAACAUUGUGAUUGAGUGAAAACAGAUUUUUCCUGCAGGAAAUAUAUUAACUCUGACUUAUGUUGUCCUUAGAAUUUUUGGUCA